rnacentral:rRNA from 1 species
UCGGCGGAUGAGUUGUGAUUAGGGGUGAAAUGCCAAUCGAACUCGGAGCUAGCUGGAUCUCCCCGAAAUGCGUUGAGGCGCAGCGGUUAACGAUGGGCUGCCUAGGGGUAAAGCACUGUUUCGGUGCGGGCUGCGAGAGCGGUACCAAAUCGUAGCAAACUAAGAAUACUAGGCAUUGCUUUCCGUUAACCAGUGAGACAGUGGGGGAUAAGCUUCAUUGUCGAGAGGGAAACAGCCCAGAUCACCAGCUAAGGCCCCAAAAUGACCGCUAAGUGGUAAAGGAGGUGAGAAUGCUGAAACAACCAGGAGGUUUGCUUAGAAGCAGCCACCCUUUAAAGAGUGCGUAAUAGCUCACUGGUGGAGCGUUCUUGCGCCGAAAAUGAACGGGACUAAGCGGUCUGCCGAAGCUGUGGGUAAUAUCAAAAAACAACGAAAAACUUUAAAAUCUUCUUUUUUACAUCGAUUUUAACAUCACCCCUGGUGAUGUCAGAUCUAUCAGAUGUCAGUAUUUUUUAAAAUGUUUAAUUUGAUGUUACGGUAGGGGAGCGUUCCGCUCUAGGGUGAAGCUCCAACGUAAGUUGGUGUGGACAAAGCGGAAGUGAGAAUGUCGGCUUGAGUAACGAAAACAUUGGUGAGAAUCCAAUGCCCCGAAAACCUAAGGCUUCCUCCACUAGGCUCGUCCAUGGGGGGUUAGUCGGGACCUAAGGCCAGGCCGAAAGGCGUAGUCGAUGGAAAACAGGUUAAUAUUCCUGUACUUCUUUUUAAGUGGUACCGAGGGACGAAGGAGGGAACGGUUGGUCAAUAUUGGCUGUUGGCGGAAACGUUCAAGGUGAUGAAAGAUAGAAUAAAAACUAUUCUUGAGCUGAGACGUGAUACGGUAUUAUUCCCUGUAUGAGAGCUUUGCUCAAAUUCAAAAUAAUACUCAACUAGUUGUCAAACUUCCUAGAAAAGCUCGAACUUCCAAUACUUAAAAAUAACCCGUACCCGAAACCGACACAGGUAGGUAGGUAGAGUAUACCAAGGGGCGCGAGAUAACUCUCUCUAAGGAACUCGGCAAAAUGGCCCCGUAACUUCGGGAGAAGGGGUGCCCUCUGUCUAAUAGAUAAGAGGGCCGCAGUGACCAGGCCCAGGCGACUGUUUACCAAAAACACAGGUCUCCGCUAAGUCGUAAGACAAUAUAUGGGGGCUGACGCCUGCCCAGUGCCGGAAGGUGAAGGAAGUUGGUUACUUGAGCACGCUCAAGGAAGCUGACAACCGAAGCCCCGGUGAACGGCGGCCGUAACUCUGACGGUCCUAAGGUAGCGAAAUUCCUUGUCAGGUAAGUUCUGACCCGCACGAAAGGUGUAACGAUCUGGGCACUGUCUCGGAGAGAGGCUCGGUGAAAUAGACAUGUCCGUGAAGAUGCGGACUACCUGCACCUGGACAGAAAGACCCUAUGAAGCUUUACUGUAGCCUGUAAUUGAAUUUGGGCUUUUCUUGCGCAGUCUAGGUGGGAGGCGUUGAAAGUUUCUUUCCGGAGAAACUAGAGCCAUCAGUGAGAGACCACUCUGGAGAAGCUAGAAUUCUAAUGGCGCUCCUUGAAUCAGGACGCUUGACAGUUUCAGGUGGGCAGUUUGACUGGGGCGGUCGUCUCCUAAAAGGUAACGGAGAUGUGCAAAGGUUCCCUCAGGCUGGACGGAAAUCAGCCGAAGAGUGUAAAGGCAGAAGGGAGCUUGACUGCAAGACCUACAAGUCGAGCAGGGCCGAAAGGCGGCCUUAGUGAUCCGACGGUACCGAGUGGAAGGGCCGUCGCUCAACGGAUAAAAGUUACUCUAGGGAUAACAGGCUGAUCUUCCCCAAGAGUUCACAUCGACGGGAAGGUUUGGCACCUCGAUGUCGGCUCAUCGCAACCUGGGGCGGUAGUACGUCCCAAGGGUUGGGCUGUUCGCCC